rnacentral:rRNA from 1 species
GUCCACGCCCUAAACGAUGUCUACUAGUUGUCGGGUCUUAAUUGACUUGGUAACGCAGCUAACGCGUGAAGUAGACCGCCUGGGGAGUACGGUCGCAAGAUUAAAACUCAAAGGAAUUGACGGGGACCCGCACAAGCGGUGGAUGAUGUGGAUUAAUUCGAUGCAACGCGAAAACCUUACCUACCCUUGACAUGGCUGGAAUCCUCGAGAGAUUGAGGAGUGCUCGAAAGAGAACCAGUACACAGGUGCUGCAUGGCUGUCGU